UAUUUUAUUAUGAAUAAAGUUUAUUUUGAUUAAAAAAAAGGUUCUCCCAGGACAAGGCUUGCCCAUUGCAAUUUGGGUGUGCUGAUGCCUGCGAUGUCCCCAAAUGCAGGAUGCUCGAUUGCAAAAUUUGUGGUAGUGCGGGAUUGCGUUCGUGCUCUCCCCUG